rnacentral:misc_RNA from 1 species
AACUUGUGUGGAAGAUAUUUAGCUGUUGUACAAAUUGGUCUGUGCGUCUUUGCUUCCUGGUUCUCCAAGAGCUCAAUAUGAUAAUUGCUCUUUCUUCCACUUCUCUUCUACUAUAAGCAAAAAAGGGCUUUGCUUUACCACUCUUGAGGCUACUCAAUAUCCCUCUUCUUGAAGCCAAUCUUAAUUUCUUUUGAGGAGAGGAGUUUGAAGCCCAACUUUGCAUGGAGGAAUUUAUUAAUAUUGGUGUUUAAAGCCUGAAAUGGAUCAGUUAAUUAGAAUCCCUUUAACAAUCUCUACUUCUUGAAAGGUUUAAGAUGUGAAAUACAAAAUCUUACAUAUUUCUUCUCUCUCACUAACAUUUUCAUCUUUACUGUAUCAAGAACGGCAAUAGGUCUAACCUGGUUUGAGGAUUACUGUUGGAGUUGCUGUUAAGAAAAACACUCUUUUAAAUGUAUUAGUUUUUAAAAAUUGAUUUAAAAAUUAAAUUUGAUAAAUUUUAGUUAUAAGAAUUCUGAAAUAAUGUGCUUUUAUUCAUAAAAGCAAUUUCAGGCCUCUAAAUGCAAUGCCCAAACAGACACUUACUCUGCAUUUUAGUCCAUAAUUUUAAAACUAUAAGAAAAAAUCAUUGCAUUAUAGUUCUAAAAUUUUAAAUUAGGACACACUUUAGCACUUGAGCCCUUCAGUCCCUAUAUUGUUACAUUAUAAAACUCUUUAGUCUCUCAAAAUCCAACACUUGUCACUGACAGUAGCAUAAAGGCUAAAACUACUAAUUUUGAAACUAUAGAAGCAUUCAUCAUGGUGCUUGACUAGUUUUAAAAGCAAUGACUUGAUCAUGAAUGAAAACAAAAGGUUAUUGACUCAAUCAUAUCACGCUAAAUUGCAAGAACAAGUUGAAUUUUAAUGAUGACUUAAACAUUACCUCUUUCCAAAAUGCACUUGCCAUUUUUGUGAUGACCAUGAAAUGUUCUUCAGAUAAUCUAGCAUUAUUCAAGAUGAAAUGCAUCUGCAUGUAUCCAUGAACCAGUGUUUCUCGAUAGUGGUAGGGAGUUGUAUUUUCUUUUAUUUGCUACCAAACCAUGGAGGAUGGGAAUUCCUUCUGCCCAAAGGGGAGGGGAAGUGGUCAUCCAUCCAUGCUACGCUUGGUAACAAGCUCACGCUACUAGGACUAACAUAGGAAGCUGUAUUUAGUUCUAUUGAAUUUUCUUCUGUAAAUAUAUAAAUCUUUUAACUGGUAUUAUAAUUGCAGGCCAAAAGGCGAACGAUAAAUCUUGUUUGAAGACUUCCAAUUCUUGUGUUGCCAAGAUAUCAUGGUUGAUUGACUGCGAUAGAAUUUAGAAGACCAGGGACUUUGCUAAGCUCUCAGCUUUCAUGAAGCACUUUUUUUAUUUGAACGUCUCAAAGCCAUCUAGCAGAGGAGCACAUGCACAAGAGAGUUGAUGAGGCUGCAAAGAAUUGUUUAACAAAUUGUUUUGCAUUUUGCGUACUCAUGUGGUACAUAAAAUAUGUCAAUAACUGUGUUUCUGUUAUAUAAAAAGGCACUCUCUUGAUAAUGUGAUAAUCCAUUGUUCCUAUGGUACUAAAAUGUUUUUGAAAUGAAUGAUACAGUUUG